rnacentral:rRNA from 1 species
GGGUUGUGAGGUUAAGCGACUAAGCGUACACGGUGGAUGCCCUGGCAGUCAGAGGCGAUGAAGGACGUGCUAAUCUGCGAUAAGCGUCGGUAAGGUGAUAUGAACCGUUAUAACCGGCGAUUUCCGAAUGGGGAAACCCAGUGUGAUUCGUCACACUAUCAUUAACUGAAUCCAUAGGUUAAUGAGGCGAACCGGGGGAACUGAAACAUCUAAGUACCCCGAGGAAAAGAAAUCAACCGAGAUUCCCCCAGUAGCGGCGAGCGAACGGGGAGCAGCCCAGAGCCUGAAUCAGUGUGUGUGUUAGUGGAAGCGUCUGGAAAGGCGCGCGAUACAGGGUGACAGCCCCGUACACAAAAAUGCACAUGCUGUGAGCUCGAUGAGUAGGGCGGGACACGUGGUAUCCUGUCUGAAUAUGGGGGGACCAUCCUCCAAGGCUAAAUACUCCUGACUGACCGAUAGUGAACCAGUACCGUGAGGGAAAGGCGAAAAGAACCCCGGCGAGGGGAGUGAAAAAGAACCUGAAACCGUGUACGUACAAGCAGUGGGAGCACGCUUAGGCGUGUGACUGCGUACCUUUUGUAUAAUGGGUCAGCGACUUAUAUUCUGUAGCAAGGUUAACCGAAUAGGGGAGCCGAAGGGAAACCGAGUCUUAACUGGGCGUUAAGUUGCAGGGUAUAGACCCGAAACCCGGUGAUCUAGCCAUGGGCAGGUUGAAGGUUGGGUAACACUAACUGGAGGACCGAACCGACUAAUGUUGAAAAAUUAGCGGAUGACUUGUGGCUGGGGGUGAAAGGCCAAUCAAACCGGGAGAUAGCUGGUUCUCCCCGAAAGCUAUUUAGGUAGCGCCUCGUGAAUUCAUCUCCGGGGGUAGAGCACUGUUUCGGCAAGGGGGUCAUCCCGACUUACCAACCCGAUGCAAACUGCGAAUACCGGAGAAUGUUAUCACGGGAGACACACGGCGGGUGCUAACGUCCGUCGUGAAGAGGGAAACAACCCAGACCGCCAGCUAAGGUCCCAAAGUCAUGGUUAAGUGGGAAACGAUGUGGGAAGGCCCAGACAGCCAGGAUGUUGGCUUAGAAGCAGCCAUCAUUUAAAGAAAGCGUAAUAGCUCACUGGUCGAGUCGGCCUGCGCGGAAGAUGUAACGGGGCUAAACCAUGCACCGAAGCUGCGGCAGCGACGCUUAUGCGUUGUUGGGUAGGGGAGCGUUCUGUAAGCCUGUGAAGGUGUACUGUGAGGUAUGCUGGAGGUAUCAGAAGUGCGAAUGCUGACAUAAGUAACGAUAAAGCGGGUGAAAAGCCCGCUCGCCGGAAGACCAAGGGUUCCUGUCCAACGUUAAUCGGGGCAGGGUGAGUCGACCCCUAAGGCGAGGCCGAAAGGCGUAGUCGAUGGGAAACAGGUUAAUAUUCCUGUACUUGGUGUUACUGCGAAGGGGGGACGGAGAAGGCUAUGUUGGCCGGGCGACGGUUGUCCCGGUUUAAGCGUGUAGGCUGGUUUUCCAGGCAAAUCCGGAAAAUCAAGGCUGAGGCGUGAUGACGAGGCACUACGGUGCUGAAGCAACAAAUGCCCUGCUUCCAGGAAAAGCCUCUAAGCAUCAGGUAACAUCAAAUCGUACCCCAAACCGACACAGGUGGUCAGGUAGAGAAUACCAAGGCGCUUGAGAGAACUCGGGUGAAGGAACUAGGCAAAAUGGUGCCGUAACUUCGGGAGAAGGCACGCUGAUAUGUAGGUGAAGUCCCUCGCGGAUGGAGCUGAAAUCAGUCGAAGAUACCAGCUGGCUGCAACUGUUUAUUAAAAACACAGCACUGUGCAAACACGAAAGUGGACGUAUACGGUGUGACGCCUGCCCGGUGCCGGAAGGUUAAUUGAUGGGGUCAGCGCAAGCGAAGCUCUUGAUCGAAGCCCCGGUAAACGGCGGCCGUAACUAUAACGGUCCUAAGGUAGCGAAAUUCCUUGUCGGGUAAGUUCCGACCUGCACGAAUGGCGUAAUGAUGGCCAGGCUGUCUCCACCCGAGACUCAGUGAAAUUGAACUCGCUGUGAAGAUGCAGUGUACCCGCGGCAAGACGGAAAGACCCCGUGAACCUUUACUAUAGCUUGACACUGAACAUUGAGCCUUGAUGUGUAGGAUAGGUGGGAGGCUUUGAAGUGUGGACGCCAGUCUGCAUGGAGCCGACCUUGAAAUACCACCCUUUAAUGUUUGAUGUUCUAACGUUGACCCGUGAUCCGGGUUGCGGACAGUGUCUGGUGGGUAGUUUGACUGGGGCGGUCUCCUCCUAAAGAGUAACGGAGGAGCACGAAGGUUGGCUAAUCCUGGUCGGACAUCAGGAGGUUAGUGCAAUGGCAUAAGCCAGCUUGACUGCGAGCGUGACGGCGCGAGCAGGUGCGAAAGCAGGUCAUAGUGAUCCGGUGGUUCUGAAUGGAAGGGCCAUCGCUCAACGGAUAAAAGGUACUCCGGGGAUAACAGGCUGAUACCGCCCAAGAGUUCAUAUCGACGGCGGUGUUUGGCACCUCGAUGUCGGCUCAUCACAUCCUGGGGCUGAAGUAGGUCCCAAGGGUAUGGCUGUUCGCCAUUUAAAGUGGUACGCGAGCUGGGUUUAGAACGUCGUGAGACAGUUCGGUCCCUAUCUGCCGUGGGCGCUGGAGAACUGAGGGGGGCUGCUCCUAGUACGAGAGGACCGGAGUGGACGCAUCACUGGUGUUCGGGUUGUCAUGCCAAUGGCACUGCCCGGUAGCUAAAUGCGGAAGAGAUAAGUGCUGAAAGCAUCUAAGCACGAAACUUGCCCCGAGAUGAGUUCUCCCUGACCCUUUAAGGGUCCUGAAGGAACGUUGAAGACGACGACGUUGAUAGGCCGGGUGUGUAAGCGCAGCGAUGCGUUGAGCUAACCGGUACUAAUGAACCGUGAGGCUUAACCUUACAACGCCGAAGGUGUUU